rnacentral:rRNA from 1 species
GGGCCCGCACAAGCGGUGGAGCAUGUGGUUUAAUUCGAUGCAACGCGAAGAACCUUACCAGGUCUUGACAUCCAAAGAACCUUUAUGAAAGUAGAGGGUGCCUUCGGGAGCUUUGAGACAGGUGGUGCAUGGUUGUCGUCAGCUCGUGUCGUGAGAUGUUGGGUUAAGUCCCGCAACGAGCGCAACCCUUGCUAUUAGUUGCUAACAGGUUAAGCUGAGCACUCUAAUGGGACUGCCCGUGACAAGCGGGAGGAAGGUGGGGAUGACGUCAAAUCAUCAUGCCCUUUAUGAUCUGGGCUACACACGUGCUACAAUGGAUGGUACAGAGGGCAGCGAAGUCGUGAGGCGGAGCGAAUCUCAAAAAGCCAUUCUCAGUUCGGAUUGGAGUCUGCAACUCGACUCCAUGAAGUCGGAAUCGCUAGUAAUCGCGAAUCAGCACGUCGCGGUGAAUCCGUUCCCGGGCCUU